GUGAGGAAUAUUGGACAAUGGGCGCAAGCCUGAUCCAGCCAUGCCGCGUGCAGGAAGACGCAUCUAUGGUGUGUAAACUGCUUUUGUACGGGAAGAAACACUCCCUCGUGAGGGAGCUUGACGGUACCGUAAGAAUAAGGAUCGGCUAACUCCGUGCCAGCAGCCGCGGUAAUACGGAGGAUCCAAGCGUUAUCCGGAAUCAUUGGGUUUAAAGGGUGCGUAGGUGGUUUGAUAAGUCAGCGGUGAAAGUUUGCAGCUUAACUGUAAAAAUGCCGUUGAAACUGUCGGACUUGAGUGUAAAUGAGGUAGGCGGAAUGCGUGGUGGAGCGGUGGAAUGCGUAGAUAUCGGGAGGAACACCAGUGGCGAAGGCGGCCUGCUGGACAUUAACUGACGCUGAGGAGCGAAAGCGUGGGGAGCAAACAGGAUUAGAUACCCGUGUAGUCC
rnacentral:rRNA from 1 species